rnacentral:tRNA from 1 species
GGCCCUAUAGUCUAAUGGUUAGGACGCCAGGUUUUCAUCCUGGAAAUCGGAGUUCAAUUCUCCGUAGGGUCACAA